rnacentral:rRNA from 1 species
UACGUAGGGUGCGAGCGUUGUCCGGAAUUAUUGGGCGUAAAGAGCUCGUAGGCGGUCCGUCGCGUCGAAUGUGAAAACCCGGGGCUCAACUCCGGGCUUGCAUUCGAUACGGGCGGACUAGAGUUCGGUAGGGGAGACUGGAAUUCCUGGUGUAGCGGUGAAAUGCGCAGAUAUCGGGAGGAACACCGGUGGCGAAGGCGGUUCUCUGGGCGUUACCUGACGCUGAGGAGAGAAAGCGUGGGGAGCGAACAGG